AUUGAACGCUGGCGGCAUGCCUUACACAUGCAAGUCGAACGGUAGCGGGCCUUCGGGUGCCGACGAGUGGCGAACGGGUGAGUAAUAUAUCGGAACGUACCUUUCAGUGGGGGAUAACGUAGCGAAAGUUACGCUAAUACCGCAUAUUCUGUGCGCAGGAAAGCAGGGGACCUUCGGGCCUUGCGCUGAUUGAGCGGCCGAUACCAGAUUAGCUAGUUGGGGAGGUAAAGGCUCGCCAAGGCGACGAUCUGUAGCGGGUCUGAGAGGAUGAUCCGCCUCACUGGAACUGAGACACGGCCCAGACUCCUACGGGAGGCAGCAGUGGGGAAUUUUGGACAAUGGGCGCAAGCCUGAUCCAGCCAUGCCGCGUGAGUGAAGAAGGCCUUCGGGUUGUAAAGCUCUUUCGGCCGGGAAGAAAUCGUGUUCUCUAACAUAGGACAUGGAUGACGGUACCGGACUAAGAAGCACCGGCUAACUACGUGCCAGCAGCCGCAGUAAAAC
rnacentral:rRNA from 1 species